UGAGAACUGGAUAAGUGUGGAAGAUGCUAGGAUCCCAAUUAGCCAUGGAGGUCCUGUUCUAGUUCCUGGCUUGACCCCUACUCCUGCUCCAAAGUCAUCAACUGAGGAAGCAUUUUUUAAAGAAGUCACAAAUGGCAUGGUCACCGACCCUCUAUGGCAGCUGAUGAAGCUACCAACUGUGAAAUACGAAUACCCGAGGUAACCAUCUGAAGAGGCAAUUUUUUCAAUUUUGAGUUCGUUUCCUUAACGAGUGAUUGACUUCCCAUGGUGCUCCCUUUAGCACAAUUGAGCUAGAUAUGGCAGAGCUUUGUGUUUGUGUGUGUUUUUGUUUCUUUCAAUCUUUCCUAUCAUUGAUAAAACAGAUACAUCUCUGGUCAUUGUCGGAACUAUAGUUUUCAUCAAUAUCUACAAUGUGCAGAUGAUAAUGGCCAGGGUGUUUCAUGUUGUAAUGCAACAUGUGAAUACAAUAGUGGUCUUGGAUCCUGCAUCUUUGUUGAAAUGAAAUGUCUGGUUAUCAUA